UACAGAGGUCCCAAGCGUUGUUCGGAUUCAUUGGGCGUAAAGGGUGCGUAGGCGGUGGGGUAAGUUGGAUGUGAAAUCUUGGGGCUUAACCUCAAAAUUGCAUUCAAUACUGCUCCGCUUGAGCGCUGUAGAGGAGAUUGGAAUUUACGGUGUAGCAGUGAAAUGCGUAGAUAUCGUAAGGAACGCCAGUGGCGAAAGCGAAUCUCUGGGCAGCAGCUGACGCUGAGGCACGAAGGCCAGGGGAGCAAACGGGG
rnacentral:rRNA from 1 species